GACGAACGCUGGCGGCGUGCUUAACACAUGCAAGUCGAACGCUGAAGCUUGGUGCUUGCACUGGGUGGAUGAGUGGCGAACGGGUGAGUAAUACGUGAGUAACCUGCCCUUGACUCUGGGAUAAGCCUGGGAAACUGGGUCUAAUACUGGAUAUGACAUGCCACUGCAUGGUGGUGUGUGGAAAGGGUUUUACUGGUUUUGGAUGGGCUCACGGCCUAUCAGCUUGUUGGUGGGGUAAUGGCCUACCAAGGCAACGACGGGUAGCCGGCCUGAGAGGGUGACCGGCCACACUGGGACUGAGACACGGCCCAGACUCCUACGGGAGGCAGCAGUGGGGAAUAUUGCACAAUGGGCGGAAGCCUGAUGCAGCGACGCCGCGUGAGGGAUGACGGCCUUCGGGUUGUAAACCUCUUUCAGCACGGAAGAAGCGAGAGUGACGGUACGUGCAGAAGAAGCGCCGGCUAACUACGUG
rnacentral:rRNA from 1 species